AGCCCAGGCGCCGUGUGGCAUCCGGUUUUAAACAGCUCUGCUUAGGAAUGGAAGAGAACCUCUCCGGAACAUGGGAGGGCCCUGGCAGGGCUCCCAGGGCAGAGGAAUGACGCUGCUGCCAACUCAUGACGGAAGUAGGUCUGUGGGAAGGGAGGAGGGACGAGGGCACUGAAGGGAGUGGACGCAACCCGGCAGCAUUUUUCCUGGAAACAACCCUUGCAUGUUUCUUCUGAAAAUCAGGAGAGUUUUUAUCCCUCCAGGCUCUUGUACCCACGGUUGGCCUACCUCCCGUGAGCGCGGUUUUCCCCAAGUGUACGUGUGCUCGUGUUUGUUUGUUUGUUUAUUUUUUUGUGCUCGUGUUUAAAGAAAGAAUAUUAUAAGCUGCUCGUGGUCCCCACCAGGGAACACACUGGGAUAAGAGAAUGCAAGAAACUCAGCUUUGCCUCCUUGUGUUCCCGAGGCAGGAACAGGCCUUCUCGGUUCUCUCUUCCAGGCCCGGCCUGGGAAGCUCACUUUUUCUCUUGGGAAACUCCUCUGCAGCCCAGUACAGCCAGGGGGCCUGUGAGGGCCUCCUCGGGGCCAGACAGGAUGAAGACUCUCAAGGGCGUGCAGAAAUCUGCCCUCCCUGACACUUUCAGCAAGAAGAAGGGUGCGGCCCGUCUCGUCAUCUUGUCAUUUGUAAAAAUCUUCAACUCCAAUCAAAGAGACAAUUCAAAGCUUUGGUUAAGGCUGAGUACACAGUGUGAGAGAGAGAGGCAGAGAAACAGGCAGAGGGAGAAGCAGGCUCCAUGCACCAGGAGCCCGACGUGGGAUUCGAUCCCGGGUCUCCAGGAUCGCGCCCUGGGCCAAAGGCAGGCGCUAAACCGCUGUGCCACCCAGGGAUCCCCAAGAGAGGCAUUUCUAAUAAAA